rnacentral:rRNA from 1 species
GACGAACGCUGGCGGCGUGCUUAACACAUGCAAGUCGAACGGAAAGGCCCUGCUUUUGUGGGGUGCUCGAGUGGCGAACGGGUGAGUAACACGUGAGUAACCUGCCCUUGACUUUGGGAUAACUUCAGGAAACUGGGGCUAAUACCGGAUAGGAGCUCCUGCUGCAUGGUGGGGGUUGGAAAGUUUCGGCGGUUGGGGAUGGACUCGCGUCUUAUCAGCUUGUUGGUGGGGUAGUGGCUUACCAAGGCUUUGACGGGUAGCCGGCCUGAGAGGGUGACCGGCCACAUUGGGACUGAGAGACGGCCCAGACUCCUACGGGAGGCAGCAGUGGGGAAUAUUGCACAAUGGGCGGAAGCCUGAUGCAGCAACGCCGCGUGCGGGAUGACGGCCUUCGGGUUGUAAACCGCUUUCGCCUGUGACGAAGCGUGAGUGACGGUAAUGGGUAAAGAAGCACCGGCUAACUACGUG